rnacentral:lncRNA from 1 species
GGUGGCCGGCGAAUCCCCGCCCAGCCAGGUGUCAGUCCUCGAGGCCAGGCCGGACACCGCCGGAGCGAGGGCCACGGGGACGGGGUGCUGGCGCUGCCCGCGAGACCUGACCCCAGCCCAGCGAGCGCCUUGCUGCCCUCGUCCCGUCCCAGCCCUCCGGAGAGAGGGCCCCGGGGGUCAGGGGCUUGGACGCUCCCGGGGGAAUAUAGGGCCUGGUCGCUGCAUCAAAAUGAAUUUUGUGAAGCGAUUUCCUGCCGCUAUAUUAAAAUGUAACCGGCCUGCUGAGUCACGGAAUAUUCUCAGCGCCAGAAUGACUCAGUUCGCGGAACCCGAGCCAGAAGAUCAUGAGUUUCGGUCCUAGAUCAGAACCUGGGCACUGGCCCAAUAUAGAGCAAAUGAUGACUGGGUCCGAGUGACAGUAGCCCAGCAGAAUGCGGCGGUUCUCAGACUUUUGAGUCCUCGAGCAAAGUGGAUGCUCGAAGUGAAUGCCCAGGAUGGAUUUUUUUUUUUAAACUUUUCAGAAAAGUAAGAAUACUACACGGUUUUAGAUGCAGUAGGCCUGUUCAGACAGGGAUAGUGGGGAUCUGAAACAAUAAAAUAAGUAAAUGUUAGGUGACUAUGGUUAGGGUCAGUGUUAGUCCCACAAUUACUAAUUAGGAGGGCCUUAGGCAUAAUGGUCUAGUUGGAUUGGGCGGAGGCCUGGGGCGUCCAGAGGACUUUGGCAGAGCCUGCUUUUUGAGUAUAUCAUCAUAUAUUGCUAUGAGGUAUUGUUCGUUUAUUGGAUGAGAUAGGUGGAGAUGAUACAUAGUUAGAAGUCUCAAACCAUUCACCCAGCACCCUCUUUUUGGGAGAAGGAAGUUGUGAGGACAAUAAUAAUGUUUAAUCCUUUCAUACUGGAGUUGAAGCAUCAGUAUAUUCACUUAUACCUAAAGGAGAUGAUAUCCUCAGCUCUUCCUUGUGCUUGGGAACAAAGGAGCAAAGAUAAAGACGACUUUAUUAAUACCAACAAACUAAAGGAACCUCAUCUGACAUUUGUAAAGCACAUAAAGAGACCUUGACUUCAUCUCUAAAUCCCAUUGUGCAGGGGGAUUGUGUUACAAUCCUGCCCCAAUUCUUGGUAUAAGUCCAAGCGUAACAACAUAAGCUGUCUUUUGUGGCCAAGUUCAGGUAAAGACAGGAUUCCUCUUGCAUGAGUUAAAGUUCUUCUUCCCCACCCAGCCCUAUCCACCAACGUCAAGCCAUCUUUACAUUGUCACACUAGUUUUAAAAGGAAGAAAAAAGGACACUUCAUAAUUUAAAACAGAACCUUAUUGCAAUAUACAAAUUUUUGAAAGGAAGAAUUUCCAAAAACCAGUAGCAAAAUCCAUCCUCACACCUCCCCCAAAUCUUCCCAUAAUGUGCUAAGUCACUUUUCCUCCCACCUACAUUUUGUUAUAA